rnacentral:rRNA from 1 species
AUUGAACGCUGGCGGCAGGCCUAACACAUGCAAGUCGAACGAGUGGCGGACGGGUGAGUAAUGUCUGGGAAACUGCCUGAUGGAGGGGGAUAACUACUCGAAACGGUAGCUAAUACCGCAUACCCUCGGAUGUGCCCAGAUGGGCUUAGCUAGUAGGUGGGGUAACGGCUCACCUAGGCGACGAUCCCUAGCUGGUCUGAGAGGAUGACCAGCCACACUGGGACGGGAACACUGUCCAGACUCCUACGGGAGGCAGCAGUGGGGAAUAUGGCACAAUGGGCGCAAGCCUGAUGCAGCCAGGCCGCGUGUAUGAAGAAGGCCUUCGGGUUGUAAAGUACUUUCAGCGGGGAGGCGUUACCCGCAGAAGAAGCACCGGCUAAUUCCGGGCCGGCAGCCGCGGUAAUUC